UAGGGAAUCUUCCACAAUUGGGCGCAAGCCUGAUGGAGCAACACCGCGUGAGUGAAGAAGGGUUUCGGCUCGUAAAGCUCUGUUGUUAAAGAAGAACACGUAUGAGAUUAACUGUUCAUACGUUGACGGUAUUUAACCAGAAAGUCACGGCUAACUACGUGCCAGCAGCCGCGGUAAUACGUAGGUGGCAAGCGUUAUCCGGAUUUAUUGGGCGUAAAGAGAGUGCAGGCGGUUUUCUAAGUCUGAUGUGAAAGCCUUCGGCUUAACCGGAGAAGUGCAUCGGAAACUGGAUAACUUGAGUGCAGAAGAGGGUAGUGGAACUCCAUGUGUAGCGGUGGAAUGCGUAGAUAUAUGGAAGAACACCAGUGGCGAAGGCGGCUACCUGGUCUGCAACUGACGCUGAGACUCGAAGGCAUGGGUAGCGAACAGGAUUAGAUACCCUGGUAGUCCAUGCCGUAAACGAUGAGUGCUAGGUGUUGGAGGGUUUCCGCCCUUCAGUGCCGGAGCUAACGCAUUAAGCACUCCGCCUGGGGAGUACGACCGCAAGGUUG
rnacentral:rRNA from 1 species